AUGCCAACAAGAUCCGGUUCAGAUAUUAAGUCAAAGCUGGCUUGUUUCUAUCAGAUUUGUCAGUUAAAACUUGGCAGUGGGCACCAGGCCUCUAAUAUAGAUUUUGUGGGAACAAUCGAGAAAUAUUAUUUAUCUAGUUUAUAAUACCUUGUGUUAUUCUUGCAGAUAUAAACGAGUGUUUACGGACCGAUGCUGACUACCCUUGUGAUGCAGACAAUGGCGAUUGUACAAACACGCUUGGAAGCUACAUGUGCACCUGCAAUCCUGGAUUCGAGACUGAUUCAUCAGACCCCUCAGCUUGUUCUAAUAUCAAUGAUUGCUCGAGCGACACCUGUCAGAAUGGAGGGUCCUGCAUGGACUUGGUCAAUGGAUACACAUGUUCAUGUCUGGAUGGAUUCAACGGAACUCACUGUGAAUUUGACAUUGAUGCAUGUGUCCCUAACCCAUGUGUCAAUGAAGUGAACUGCACAAACCACUAAAUGAAUCCCGGUGAUGCUACUUACACAUGUUUCUGCAUGCCUGGAUGGACAGGGGAAACUUGCUCAGAUGAUUUUCGUGAAUGUGAUUCGAUGCCCUGCGAGAACAACGGAACCUGCGUGGAUGGCCCAAAUUAUUACAACUGCGCUUGUCCUCCGGGCUUCAAUGGAUCAUAUUGUGAACAUAUCUGUCCUGCUGGUACUUUUGGAGAUUACUGUACGGAGAGCUGUACUUGUGUGGAUGGGGCUAACUGCAGUACUGUCGAUGGGGGCUGCACUUGUGAGCCAGCAUUUGAGGAAGCAGUUUGUGACAAAAGUAAGUGAACUUGUUGGUAUUGUGAUGGCUGAAAUUAUAGAGAAUUU